UACGUAGGGUGCAAUCUUUGUCCGGUAUUAUUGGGCGUAAAGAGCUCGUAGGCGGUUUGUCGCGUCUGCUGUGAAAGUGCUGAGCUCAACCCCGGAACUGCAGUGGGUACGGGCAGACUAGAGUGCGGUAGAGGAGACUGGAAUUACUGGUGUAGCGGUGGAAUGCGCAGAUAUCAGGAGGAACACAAGUGGCGAAGGCGGGGCUCUGGGCUGCAACUGACGCUGAGGAGCGAAAGCGUGGGGAGCGAACAGG
rnacentral:rRNA from 1 species